CCGCACAUCGCGCAGCGCGCACCGAGCCGGCCCCGCCGCGCCCGCCACCCUCGCGGCGGUCUCCUCCUCAGGCGCCUGUCGCGGCCGGUAAGUGCCUGCUGGCGGAGCAGCGGCGGUCCCCGAGUCAACUUUCAAUCCCCCCUUCGCUUCUGCCUCGCCAUUCUCUUCUCCGCGAAAGAUGGCUGUUUGGAGAAGGGGGAGAAGUUAGGGGGUCGCCGACGUGGGGCGAAGGAGGGCGCGACAGCCUCAGCAGGAGCGGGCGGAGGUUUCUCCUCUACCAGUCUGUCCAAGACCAACACUGAAAGCGGAAGGAAGGCGGUGAAUCUGCAUCCCAUCCCAUUAGUCCUUCUCCAGAUUCCCACGAUGAGCUCGCCAGUGCAGCCCGAUGGGGUGGCUGGACGAGAGCAGCUCUUGGCUCAGCAGAGAAUGCACAGUAUGAUCAGCUCAGUGGAUGUGAAAUCAGAGGUUCCUGUGGGCCUGGAGCCCAUCUCACCUUUAGACCUGAGGACAGACCUCAGGAUGAUGAUGCCUGUGGUGGAUCCUGUUGUCCGUGAAAAGCAACUGCAGCAAGAAUUACUCCUUAUCCAGCAACAGCAGCAAAUCCAGAAGCAACUCCUGAUUGCAGAGUUUCAGAAACAGCAUGAGAACUUGACACGGCAGCACCAGGCUCAGCUUCAGGAGCACAUCAAGUUGCAACAGGAACUUCUAGCCAUAAAACAGCAACAAGAACUCCUAGAAAAGGAGCAGAAACUGGAGCAGCAGAGGCAAGAACAGGAAGUAGAGAGGCAUCGCAGAGAACAACAGCUUCCUCCUCUCAGAGGCAAAGAUAGAGGACGAGAAAGUAAGAGGCACCAGGGAGCAGUGGCAAGUACAGAAGUAAAGCAGAAGCUUCAAGAAUUCCUGUUGAGUAAAUCAGCAACAAAAGACACUCCAACUAAUGGCAAAAAUCAUUCCGUGAGCCGCCAUCCCAAGCUCUGGUACACGGCUGCCCACCACACGUCACUGGAUCAAAGCUCUCCACCCCUGAGUGGAACAUCUCCAUCUUACAAAUACACAUUACCAGGAGCACAAGAUGCAAAGGAUGAUUUCCCCCUUCGAAAAACUGCCUCUGAGCCCAACUUGAAGGUGCGGUCCAGGUUAAAACAGAAAGUGGCAGAGAGGAGAAGCAGCCCCUUACUCAGGCGGAAGGAUGGAAAUGUUGUCACUUCAUUCAAGAAGCGAAUGUUUGAGGUGACAGAAUCCUCAGUCAGUAGCAGCUCUCCAGGGUCUGGCCCCAGCUCACCAAACAAUGGGCCAACCGGUAACGUUACUGAAAAUGAGACUUCAGUUUUGCCGCCUACUCCUCAUGCUGAGCAUAUGGUUUCACAGCAACGCAUUCUAAUUCACGAAGAUUCCAUGAACCUGCUAAGUCUUUAUACCUCUCCCUCUUUGCCCAACAUUACCUUGGGACUUCCAGCAGUGCCAGCCCAGCUCAAUGCUUCGAAUUCACUCAAAGAAAAACAGAAGUGUGAGACUCAGACACUCAGACAAGGCGUUCCUCUGCCUGGGCAGUAUGGGGGCAGCAUCCCAGCAUCUUCAAGCCAUCCCCAUGUCGCUUUAGAGGGAAAACCCAACAGCAGCCACCAAGCUCUCCUGCAGCAUUUGUUACUGAAAGAACAAAUGCGACAGCAAAAGCUUCUUGUGACUGGCGGAGUUCCCUUACAUCCUCAGUCUCCAUUGGCAACGAAAGAGAGAAUUUCACCUGGCAUUAGAGGUACCCACAAAUUACCCCGUCACAGACCCCUGAAUCGAACCCAGUCCGCACCUUUGCCUCAGAGCACAUUGGCUCAGCUGGUCAUUCAGCAGCAACACCAGCAAUUCUUGGAGAAGCAGAAGCAAUACCAGCAGCAGAUCCACAUGAACAAACUGCUUUCGAAAUCUAUUGAACAACUGAAGCAACCAGGCAGUCACCUCGAGGAAGCGGAGGAAGAGCUUCAGGGGGACCAGGCGAUGCAGGAAGACAGAGCGCCCUCUAGUGGCAACAGCACUAGGAGCGACAGCAGUGCUUGUGUGGAUGACACACUGGGACAAGUUGGGGCUGUGAAGGUCAAGGAGGAACCAGUGGACAGUGAUGAAGAUGCUCAGAUCCAGGAAAUGGAAUCUGGGGAGCAGGCUGCUUUUAUGCAACAGCCCUUCCUGGAGCCCCAGCACACACGUGCGCGCUCCGUGCGCCAAGCUCAGCUGGCUGUGGUUGGCAUGGAUGGAUUAGAGAAACAUCGUCUUGUCUCCAGGACUCAUUCCUCCCCUGCUGCCUCCAUUUUACCUCAUCCAGAAAUGGACUGCCCCCUCCAGCCUGGCUCUGCAACUGGAAUUGCCUACGACCCUCUGAUGCUGAAACACCAGUGUAUUUGUGGCAAUUCCACCACUCACCCUGAGCACGCUGGACGAAUACAGAGCAUCUGGUCACGGCUGCAAGAAACUGGACUGCUAAAUAAAUGUGAGCGAAUUCAAGGUCGAAAAGCCAGCCUGGAGGAAAUACAGCUUGUUCAUUCUGAACAUCACUCACUGUUGUAUGGCACCAACCCUCUGGAUGGACAGAAGCUGGACCCCAGAACACUCCUAGGUGACGCCUCUCAAAAGUUCUUUUCUUCAUUACCUUGUGGUGGACUUGGGGUGGACAGUGACACCAUUUGGAAUGAGCUGCACUCGUCCGGUGCUGCACGCAUGGCUGUUGGCUGUGUCAUCGAGCUGGCUUCCAAAGUGGCCUCAGGAGAGCUGAAGAAUGGGUUUGCUGUUGUAAGGCCCCCAGGCCAUCAUGCUGAAGAAUCCACAGCCAUGGGGUUCUGCUUUUUUAAUUCAGUUGCAAUUACCGCCAAAUACUUGAGAGACCAACUAAAUAUAAGCAAGAUAUUGAUUGUAGAUCUGGAUGUUCACCAUGGAAAUGGUACACAGCAGGCCUUUUAUGCUGACCCCAGCAUCCUGUAUAUUUCACUCCAUCGCUAUGAUGAAGGGAACUUUUUCCCUGGCAGUGGAGCCCCAAAUGAGGUUGGAACAGGGCUAGGAGAAGGAUACAAUAUAAAUAUUGCCUGGACAGGUGGCCUUGAUCCCCCCAUGGGAGAUAUUGAGUACCUUGAAGCAUUCAGGACUGUAGUGACGCCUGUGGCCAAAGAGUUUGAUCCAGACAUGGUCCUAGUUUCCGCUGGAUUUGAUGCAUUAGAGGGCCAUGCCCCUCCUCUGGGGGGGUACAAGGUGACAGCAAAAUGCUUUGGUCAUUUGACGAAGCAAUUGAUGACAUUGGCUGAUGGACAUGUGGUGUUGGCUCUAGAAGGAGGACAUGAUCUCACAGCCAUCUGCGAUGCCUCAGAAGCCUGUGUAAAUGCCCUUCUAGGAAAUGAGCUGGAGCCGCUUGCAGAAGAUAUUCUCCACCAAACCCCGAAUAUGAAUGCUGUUAUUUCUUUACAGAAGAUCAUUGAAAUUCAAAGCAAGUACUGGAAGUCAGUUAGGAUGGUGGCUGUGCCAAGGGGCUGUGCUUUGGCUGGGGCACAGUUGCAAGAGGAGACGGAGACCGUUUCUGCCAUGGCCUCCCUGACGGUAGAUGUAGAACAGCCCUUUGCUUCAGAAGACAGCAGGUUGCCUCCACCUCUUGGACACUGCGAAUAAUGCUUCAAUGAAUAUGGUAUGCAAUUAUCUCUUCAAGAUCCUGUUUUCAAUUCUUUUGGAUAUAUACCCAGAACUGGAAUUGCUGGAUCAUAUGAACUGCUGGUGAGCCUAUGGAAGAGGAGCCAGCCUUGUGAAGUGCCAAGCACACCCUCCCCCACUAUAUUUCCUGUGUGUGACAUCAUUGUGUAUCCCCCCACCCAGCACCCUCAGACAUGUCUUGUCUGCUGCCUGGGUGGCACAGAUUCGAUGUAACAUAAACACUGGGCACAAAAUUCUGAACAGCAGCUUCACUUGUUCUUUGGAUGGACUUGAAAGGGCAUUAAAGAUUCCUUAAACAUAACCGUUGUGAUUCUAAAGUUACAGUAAACCAUGAUUGGAAGAAACUGCUUCCAGCAUACUUUUAAUAUGCUGAGUGACCCACUCCCACGCCCAAAGUUUAAACUAGUAACAUCCAGUACAGCAUUAGAUACUGUUAAUUAUGGAUGCUACAACAGCCAGCAAAAUUUUGGGCAAAACCUAAGAAAUACUCAUUCCUGACAUUCUGAUCAGUUUUUUUUACAUAAUUUUUGUCAGUCUUAAAUUGCUUACAGGAUUUGCUUUUGGGUAUGAACAGAUAGCAGUUCUUGACCUAUUGCGGGGGGGGGGGGUUGUUUUGUUUUGUUUUGUUGUUUUUUUGGCCUUUAACACAUGGUUCAACUCUUACUCGUAAGAGUUCAAGAUGGAGGAACUGGGGUGAGGCUUUGUUCAAUGGAAUAAACCAUGCUGUCUCUCAAAGUCCAAAUGCCAAAGGAUCUUCACAAACUGUAUGUAAUGGUGCAAUGUUUUAUGUCACAUUUCUUGAGAAAAAUAACCCUAUUUCCCUAACCUCCCUCUGUGUGUUCUCACACAUGGGAGAUUUGCAACUGUAUUUGAGGAUGAGGUCUUCCAUCUGCCUCCUACAUCCCUUGCUCUAAUGAUAGUCACUUCAAGCAUAUGCUCCAUAGAGGAUGGUCUUACUUUGUUCCAAAUCUAUCAAGAACUUGGUUCUCUUUUUAUUUUAUUUCCUCCAUCACAUCCAUUCUUUUUACCUUUCAUCCCUCCUUCCUAUAGAAAAGCUAAAGAUUACCCAUAAUUUUCCCAAUUACUUAGGAGCUUUGAGUCUUUCUUUCUUUCUUUGAUUCUUUCUUUCUUUCUUUCUUUCAUUUAUUAUUUUAUUUUAUUUUAUUUUAUUUUAUUUUAUUUUAUUUUAUUUUAUUUUUAUUUUUCAGAUUAACAGUUGUUUGGCCUGAUGUGUUCUUUUAACUCUGACACCACUGAGGUGAAGGAAUGCUACUGAAUUUUCUAGAUCUUUGAAAUGUGUUAAUGAAGGCAUUGCCUAUUUGAAGUCACCUUGAAUUGAGUUAACCAUGAAGUUGUGCCUUCCUGUGGGGAGGGGGGGAACAAAAAUACGCUUAACCUUCAUACAUGUUACUUUAAUGUCAAAGGCUAAAAAUAAAGGACAUUUAUUUCUGAGAAUAAAAGCAAUUUACUAAAUAUAAGUAGGUUAUACCCUACCUCCCAAAAUUUUAUUUCAAUGUAUAACUCAAACACCUAAAGACACUGAUGUAGAAUACCUCGCAGUAUUUAAUGUCUGACAAUGCUUUUGAAAGAGUUGAUGUUUCUUUUUAUAUAUUUUCCUAAGUCAAAGGAUAUAUUAAAGCCAUAAGUGAAGAUUGUCAUGCUUUUAUUCAGAAAUCUGAAAGAAACCUUAAUUAAAACAAGGUUUUAGGAAAGGCCAUGAUAUGAAAGAUAUAAAACAAUAUGGUUUUAGUUAAAGAGGACUCUAACCUGUAAAUCAAAGAUGAAAGAUCUCACUCAAGUAGAAUUAUAUAACUCCCUUUUGUUAUACAGUCAGACCAUAUUUUUCAUGCAUUUGGUUUUUUUUUAGGAUUACCAUUUUAAUUUUAAAGACUUUUAUUACAUAUACAAAAAUGGCUCAAUACUUGGUUUAACAUCUUAGAAAUUUGAGACACCCUUUGAAAUAGGAAAUCUGAAAUGGAAUGUAACUCAGUAUUAGGUAAAAAUUAGUUUUAGUGCAUAAGGGUAAGGUCAAUCUAGAUUCACAAUAAUAAUGAAUUUUUGUUAAAAAAUCAUAUUUUCAGAGAAAUUGAUGCCAAUCAUAUUUGCUAGCUAUUGCAAUUUUUCUGUAAUUGCUUGAGGAGACUUACUUACAGAAAACCAAAUAGUGGAGCCAAAGGCUUUAACAAAAAAAAAAAAAAAAGACACCUCUCCCCCUUAAAAAGAAAGUUAUGUCAUAUUUUAAUUGGAAACAUAAUUGUGACUUUCUAAACUCAGCUUCAUAAUUACAAAUCUCAGUUAUUACUUUCAGUCUUCCCAGAUAUUUUUUAGAUGUUGAGUAAGAAAAUGAAACAGUAUAGUGCAAGAAUACUAAUUUACUAACAUUUCCUAUAAUAAUUUUGCCACAUAUUUAAUAUACACAGCCAUCAGUAUGAUAAAGCCAAAUUACUAGGACACCUCCAUGGUUAUUUAGAUUUACAACAUGACACAUUAAUGAGUUAAUCACACAUUCUUCUGUGUGGUACCCAAUUGGUUGCAGUUAGGGUCUUUAGGAUGCAUGGAGAGGGAGAUAAGGUAGGGAGAAGACUAAUCACAGCUGAAUGUAGUUGUAAGAAGAGACUGCAAGUGCUUUUUGAUUAUACCCUUACAAGCUCUAGUGUAGUCCUCAGGGACCGAAUGGAGGCUUUUUGAGAACAUCAACACUUCUUUUGAAAUAGACCAGCACUUUUUGAAAGGGUAGUUUCACUUGGUAAUAGUUUUCUCCACUUAUACAUUUAAUUUUAUUGCUCAUAAUAGUAAGAGAUUAUUAGAACUACUCUCUCUCUCUUUGUGAAGUUUAAAUACAUAAGCUUUCUCACAAUCUAAUAGAUCACAUACAUGAUGAGUAAAAAUGAUGACUUUUGAGAAAUCAACUAGCAAAUAAUUCUAGGACUUUAAUAAUAUUUGAUAAUAAGUACAAAAGGAAAGUUAAUUUUCUCAAUUAUAUAGUACAACCCAGUGUCUGAAAAACAGACAAUUUUAUUAGGAUAAUAAAUAAAAUGGACCUCAAAUGGUAAUAGAGGCUAUUUAAUUAUUGCUUACUAAAUGGGAAGAACAUUUUGAGAUGAAAUAUUUUGAAAUAUUUUUAAACAUAUUUACAACAUCAAUAUUAGAGGUAGAAAUAAGCUUUUGAGAAAAACAGAGAUACACAGGAAAAACUAUUACAAAUCACAUUUCCAUUACCAAUCAUAAGAACUGAAAUCUUGCCUUCAGUUUUGACUAUAACCCUUUGCAAGACUCUCAUAAACCUCUCACUGAGGACAUAGCAGAGGAACCUACCUGGCUGGCAACUCUUGAUCUUGGGGUUUUAAGUUCAAGCCACAUGUUGGGUAUAGAGAUUACUUAAAACCUUUAAAAAACAGGCAAACAAACAGUGGAUUUGAAAGCAGGACGUCUCCUCACACAAUUUCAGAAACUAUGGGGCUGGUCUCUCCUAACAAUUUAGUACUCUUAUAUUUCCAAAGGUCAUUCAUAAAGCUUUGUGGAUUUACUGGGUUUCUUUACAGACUCCAUAUGGAAGUAAAAUAGAAUGACCAUGAAGACAGUCUCCUGGGAGAAAAUUUCAGUCAGCACUUUCACACUUCUUUUUUAUGGCAGCAUCUAUGUUUAGGACAGUUUAUUUAAAUAUUUCUUAGUAUUUAUCUUUUGAAAGUUUAUACUCAGUUUGUCUCAGUGAAAGUAUUAAAUGUCUAAUAGCCACAAAACAAACAAACCAAAGGUUUUUAUCUUAAAAGCAAUUCAUUCUGAGCUUCAAAUAACCACUCUGUCAGAGUUUGACAUUGUCAUUUCUAGUGGCAUCUAUCUUAACAUUCUUUUCCUGCUUCAGGAAUGAAAUCACUAGACUAGCAGAGAAAAUAUGAAAAAAAAUAAGAAAUAGGGGAAAACACCGAUUCAACUCCAUACCAUAAAGAGGGCGUUUUCACCUCCAAAAGAAAUGAAAACCAGAUGAUCUAAAACUAAGAAAUGGGGGCAUUUUAUUGUUGUCUUCAGAACUGAUCAUCAGCAUGGUCGUUAUCUUCAUCAAAUACCUCUUGUGUUCCCAAAGGGCACAAUUACAUUUUGGUCUCCAACAGUAUUUUAUACUAUUUACUGCCUUUUGAAUGAAGUAUUACGAGUAUUAUUACGUCACCUAAAUCAACACCGUCACUAAAAUAUGUGCCUAUGCGUGACUUCUUUUCCCGGUCAUAUUUACAUUGAAAAUCAUAGCCCUUGCAUCUUAACACCUUGCUUUUCCUUCAUCAAAUGCUUUAUGAAACAAAACAUGCUUGUCAUGUGGUCCAGAGUAUAAAUUGUGUAGAUGAACAUGGGAUACAGGACUCUAGAACUUGAUUUCUCCAAAUCAGCGGCAGCCUUUUUUUUUUUUUUUUUUAAUGAUAUACAUGGCUAGUUUUAUAUAAUGGUUUAUGCAACAACUGAGUCAGUUAAAAUAUGCUUGAAAUAGCUGGGUCAGACAGUUGAAACUUAGACUAUUGACCUGGAGCUUUUUGGACUUGAUCUUACUGAUUGAGUAAUGGAGUUGUAACAAUUUCUCAAACCAUCUUCUCUCUCUCUCUCUCUCUCUCUUUUUUUCUAACCAUCUUAAUUCUCUAACUGGAAUGUUUAGCAAAUACAUGGUGAAUUCACCAUACCGUGCCAGUCUUUCUAACCAAUAAUUUCCUUUUACCCUUCUCUCCUUCCAUUGUCCAACUGCCAAUGCCAAAUUGCCAUAUCUAAACUAUCAGGGUAAUUUCUUAAAUUUCUGUGUUUAGUAAGUAGAAACAACGUUGGCAACUUAUUUUCUGAGACACCACUAGGUAUACUUUGAUUCAUGCCAAUUUAUACAAACACUUUACUAGAUACUCUUUUAUCUUCCUUUUUAUCUCUUCCUUUUCAGGAACCACUUGACUUUUUUUCUACUCUUAUUUUAAAAGGUAGAUCCAGUUAUUGUGUUUUGGCCUACAAUUUUGGACCUGGCACUUUGUUUUAUUAAUGCAGAAUUUUUUCUUUUGUGUCAAAUAUAGUUUUCCACCAUUAUUGCUACUGCCUAAUUGUGUCAUGCUCAUUAUCACAUAGAGAAGAUUGUACAUAUACUUUUCUUGCCCUUUGGAUGAUGUAUUUAUGAUUCAGACUCAUCGGCAUAAACUCUAACCUGAAGAAAAAAUGGCUGAAGAGUAAUUUUAAAUCCAUAUAAUUUGGAAAUAAGAUAUUUCCAGACUAUUCAAAGAAAAUUGGACUUCUUUUAUUUUUCUGUUUGGGCCUUAGGCACAUUAGAGGCGAAUGUUGCAACAUCAAAUAAAAUAAGGAGGAUCAAAUUUUUUGUGGGACAAUGUAGUCAUGUCCUUUAGGCUUCAUUGUGGUGCCCUUUCUUGGAGUUGGCAUUUUAUGACACUUGACAGAGAUCUUGCAGCAAUUUCAGGCUAUUGCUUUUAUUAACUUAAAAUUGAGUAGGAAUGAAGUAAUAAACAACUUGGGAAUUAAGAAUUCUAAGAUCUGAGGAGGAAUCACACUUCCUUGGGUAUGAAAAAAUUGUUUUUAGAUAAAAGUCUCCAUAUGCUUUUUCUAAAUUUUAAGUUUCUCAAACUUUUUCUAGAUAAGCAAUGUCAGUGUCUUAUCUCCACAACAGCUGGGUUAUAUAAAAUUGCCCUUUCAGUGGUUGCUAGGCAUAAGAAGCAUUCUGUUACAAGUGAAUGACCAUUUUGUGGAUUAUAGCCUCAUCAGUUUUUUGUCAUUUGAAAGCAAAUAUCCUGAUAUUUUUAAACAAAGUGGGCAGAGCAGGCAGGAAACCAAUAUUUAUUACUCUCAUGAUUAAACACUUUAGACCAGGCUUGUUGAUGUGUAUGCCAAUAAUCUGGAGUUUCUGGCUUUGUGUAAAAUUAAAAUGUCUUUUCUAUUGUGGUCUGAUAUCUGUUUCUGUAAUAAGAUCAGUUUGUUGUCCUCUGUGCACCAGUGGUUUUGCCCUUAAUUUUUUUGGCUAGCGUUCACCAAAAUCUGUCAUCCAGAGCUGCUGAGAAAAAUACAUGUUGCCAAACUUCUUUUCUUAAAAUUGUGCUGCCAGUGAUAUUUUCCCAGAUGUGAAAAAUAAUUAUCUAAUAAAGGAUUAAUACCUAAUAACAAUACCAUUGUUGAACAUGCUCCUGGAAUGUUUACCUUCUUUCUGAUUCCUUUUUUUGUAUUUGAAAAUACUGAAUGGGUAAUUCAAUGGUGUGUUCCAAAUUGUCUAUGUUGUUAAUGUUGUGAUUCUCUUUCGAAGAGGAUAAAAGAUCCCCUUUUGUCUUGUGUUUUCUACUGAAUUAGAUUUCCUCUAGUCCUAGUGUGAAUAAAAGCUAUUUGAAAUAAAA